rnacentral:rRNA from 1 species
CGGCGGUGCCGCAGGCUAACACAUGCAAGUCGACGGUAACAGGAAGCAGCUUGCUUCUUCGCUGACGAGUGGCGGACGGGUGAGUAAUGUCUGGGAAACUGCCUGAUGGAGGGGGAUAACUACUGGAAACGGUAGCUAAUACCGCAUAACGUCGCAAGACCAAAGAGGGGGACCUUCGGGCCUCUUGCCAUCGGAUGUGCCCAGAUGGGAUUAGCUAGUAGGUGGGGUAACGGCUCACCUAGGCGACGAUCCCUAGCUGGUCUGAGAGGAUGACCAGCCACACUGGAACUGAGACACGGUCCAGACUCCUACGGGAGGCAGCAGUGGGGAAUAUUGCACAAUGGGCGCAAGCCUGAUGCAGCCAUGCCGCGUGUAUGAAGAAGGCCUUCGGGUUGUAAAGUACUUUCAGCGGGGAGGAAGGGAGUAAAGUUAAUACCUUUGCUCAUUGACGUUACCCGCAGAAGAAGCACCGGCUAACUCCGUGCCAGCAGCCGCGGUAAUACGGAGGGUGCAAGCGUUAAUCGGAAUUACUGGGCGUAAAGCGCACGCAGGCGGUUUGUUAAGUCAGAUGUGAAAUCCCCGGGCUCAACCUGGGAACUGCAUCUGAUACUGGCAAGCUUGAGUCUCGUAGAGGGGGGUAGAAUUCCAGGUGUAGCGGUGAAAUGCGUAGAGAUCUGGAGGAAUACCGGUG